UGAUUAUAAGUUCUGAGGCACUUGGAUCCUAUUUCUUGAGGGAGGCAGAGACCAAAACCUUUGAAAUAUGAGACCCACUAAACGAGCACAGAAUAGAGUUUGGUCUGUCCCUUUGUUCUGUCUCUGACAGUAGUAGCAAGAGAUGCUUUAUGGGAAGAACACAGUAUGGAUUCCAAAGGAUAGAAGCAACCCCUGAGACUUGUGGUUGAGUUGUGCCCUCAUCCAUCAGCUGUGGACUCCAAUGGUGAAGUAAUGUUCU
rnacentral:lncRNA from 1 species